UACGAAGGGUGCUAGCGUUAUUCGGAAUUAUUGGGCGUACAGGGUGCGCAGGCGGUAUGCUAAGUCAACUGUUAAAACCCCCAGCCUAACUGGGGAUCGGCGGUAGAUACUGGCGUACUAGAGGGUGGAAGAGAGAAGUGGAAUUCUUGGAGUAGCGGUAAAAUGCGUAGAUCUCAAGAGGAACACCGAUGGCGAAGGCAGCUUCUUGGUCCACAUCUGACGCUCAUGCACGAAAGCGUGGGGAGCAAACAGG
rnacentral:rRNA from 1 species